CCACCAAAAAAUGUUCAAAAAUUUCCAAAAAAUGUUGAAAAUGUGGACAUCAGAAGUUUCACUGUGAAAAUAUAUUUUUUUCCUCCACAUUUUCAAACUUUAAAACGGGUCAAUUUUGACCUGCAGGACGACACGAGGGUUAACACAAAAGUACAUCAAUUUGACCGGAAACAAACUGUAUUUUUUUAAUGUAAUAAAUGCAGAACUUUAACCUUAACAUUAACCUGUUUAUGGUGAUUCAGUGUUGAAUAAACUGCAUCAAACUUUACUGUCAUGGUUUGACAAUAAAAUGUACGAACAUUUUCCACAGUCGUGUGGAGAGAUGAGGGUGUUGCACUGCCUAGGACUAUUUUAGUGCCAUGGAACAUGCAGGUUCACAUGUUGACAAGCUGGGGGACAUAUGACAGCUCUGAUAACAAGACACAGGCGCUUCUGUUGCCUCCAUGCAUGCAUAAACACGUCCAUGACAUAACACAGUAAAGCAGCAACACGCAUGCAGAGAAGGCUGGAAUAUAAUUUAUGCACAAUCACCAGCAGAGUGUCAGAGUGAACCCUGUGUUCAGUGAGCUCCAUCUCUAAAUGACUCGCUUUAAUUCAGCGGAUCCGGUGUCAGCGAGGGACAAAGCGGUGACGAGAAACCCUAUCAGGGGGAGGGUUCAUCCGAAUAAAAAGGCAACACGCUGCUUAUUCCAUAGUCUGCGGGGGUGAUGGCCGGGCCAGGUGGAUGGGUCGGCCCUGAUAAAUAAUAAACUCUAAAGCAGGUCAAACAAAAAAACAUCAUGAUUAUGAUCUAACACCGAGUAAUGUCAGUAUAUUUAUACUAGAAUACAACCACAUUUUGAUCAACAGAAAAAUAACCUCUAGCUAUUUCACAAACAUGUUCUUCUCUGUUUUAUAUCAUUAUAAACUGCAUAUCGUGAUGGCUGAAGAUGCCAUUUGGAGCUAGAAAACAGUAAUGUGACUGUUUUCAGAUCAAACUAUUAACCCUUGUGUCGUCCUGCAGGUCAAAAUUGACACGGUUUAACGUUUCAGAUGUGGAAAAAAUAUAUAUUUUCACAGUGAAACUUCUGAUGUCCACGUUUUCAACAUUUUUGGGAAAUCUUUGAACAUUUUUUGGUGGAGAAAAAGAAAUGUUAAAAAUGUUUCUUAAGAACAUUCACGUAAAAAUCAAACAAAAUCCAACGAAAUUCGCUGGAUUUUGGUUGAUUUUUACGUGAAUGUUCUUAAAGAAAGUAUUAGAAGUUUUACUGAUACAUAUGGAAUCACUUUAGAUAAUAAAAAUAAUCAUUAUUUGCAGCCCCGGUUUCAAGCCUGCUUCCUGUAACAUGUGAUUGAUAUAUUAAAAUCAGCUGACAAAGAGGCGUCCAUCUGUAUAAACCAGGGGUGUCCAACAUGAGGCCCGUGGGCCAAAAGCGGUCCUCCAGAGGGUCCAAUCCGGCCCUCAAAGUGUAAAAAUUCCAGAGAAGACAUUAAUUGCAGAUUGUAAAUUAGUAAAACUAUAAAUUUAAAAUCAUUUCUAGACUAUGACAAGUUGUUUUGAUCAUAAAAUAAAAUACUAGAUUGUUCAUUGUUCUUUUGUUGUUCGUCUCAUGUUUGUGUAAUAUUUUGUCUGGUUCUUGUCGUUUUGUGUUUCCUUUUUGUCUCGCUUGUGUUUUUUUGUCUUAUUUUUGUCAUGUGUUUUGCUUUAUUCAGUGUUUUGUGUGCCGUUUUUGUCUCUUUGUGUAUUUUUGUCGCUUUGUAACUUUGUCAAAUUUUUUGUCUCUUUUUUUGUUUUGUCUCAUGUCAUCUGUCAAAUUUUUUAUUGUUUUGUGUCUCAUUUUUGUAAUGUUUUGUUUAUCUCGCUUGUGUUUUUUUGUCUUAUUUUUGUCAUUUCGUGUUUUGCUUUAUUCAUUGUUUUUUGUGCCCUUUUGUGUUUUUUGUCUCCUUUUUGUCAUUUAUUCUUUUUUUGUUGCUUUGUAACUUGUUUGUCUAAUUUUUUGCGUCUUUUUUGAUGUUUCGUGUCGUUUGUUAAAUUUUUUAGCGUUUUGUGUGUCAUUUUUGUAAUAUUUCGUCAUGUUUUUUUGUCUUUUUAAUCUGACUUUUGUCAUUUUGAUCAUACAGUAAAAACUGGUCUGGCCCACUGGAUAUCAAACUGGGCUGAAUGUAUCUGAACCUGAACUAAAAUGAGUUUAACACCUCUGGUAUAAACAUUAAAACUCCAGUACUGCAGUUUUAUUAUUUUCCUAAAAUCUUGAAGAUUAAGCUUCAGUGAGUGGGUAAAUAUUUAUCUAUAUCUGUUGGAGGAGUCUGACAACAACAUAAGAUAUAAAAAGAAAGCUUCAGUGACGAACGUGGACUUCAGCGAUGAGUCAGAUUGAGGAAAAGCAACAAACAUGAAAGCUCCCUGCCUGCUCCGGUCUCAGGGUGUUUCACGUCUUAAAGGGAAAUGCUUCAUCUGCUGAGAGGAUCCGCUUGCGUCAGUAUUUUUUUUUCAUCAUGAUGCAAACACUUUGUCCAAACUUGGAAGAAGAGAAGAAGCUUUUGAACUGCCAGGCUGAGUGAGGAGUCCACGCCUCACCGCUUGGAAGGAUGAUUUAGACUCACUGAUGUUAAGAGAUUUUCAGCGUCUUAUCUUCAGUGUCUUUGGCUUAACAACCUGCGGGGAGAGCUAUUGGUAAUUAAUGAGAAUAUCGGCUAGAGGGGUCUUUUUAAAGUCUGGGGAUCAAAGCAUUAAGAGGGGCUGUGUUGGGACGAGAUGAGUUCAGUCAAUCUACCCUGCAAUAAGCAGCACAGUUAAUGCAUGAUUGUGAUUGGUCUGUUUUAAAUGAAAAUGCCCUGUAUUAUUAACCUUCUGCACACCUAUGUGGAGCAGGUGAAGUCCCCAUAAUAAUCCAUGACAUUUUCAUUUAAAUCCACCACAUGGAGAAGCUUCAUUGAGCUGUUCUGCUGCAAACAAGUGGAACAAACUGCCAGUGGAGAUUAAACUUUCACCAAAUGUAGAGUUUUAAAUCCAGGUUAACCCUCCUGCCAUCCUGCAGGUCAAACUGACCCAUUUUAACGUUUGAAAAUGUGGGGAAAAAAAAUUUUCACAGUGAAACUUCUGAUGUCCACAUUUUCAACAUUUUUGGGAAAUCUUUGAACAUUUUUUGGUGGAAAAAAAAUGUUAAAAAUGUUUCUUAAGAACAUUCACUAAAAAUGUGAAUGUUCUUAAAGAAAACAUUAAGUUUUACUGAUAUAUAUGUAAUCAUUUUAGAUAUUUUUAGGAUUUUUUAAAAUAAGAUUUUUACUUAUUUUUGGAAAAUAUUUACAAGCAUUUUCUUACUAAAUUUGCGGGAUUUUUAUUUUUUUAAAUAAAACUUUUAAGGGAAUUUUUUAAGGAAUUAUUGGAAUUUUUUUCUGAAGGUUUUGCAAAUUUUCAGAAAUUUGGGGAAUUUUUUUGCUGAAUUUUGGGAUUUUUUUUCAGAAAAGGAAACAAUAUUUUUUGGUGCCUGUAAAUGAAGACUGCAGGAGGGUUAAAAACAUUUCUUUUCUCGUGUGCCUAUGCAUGAAGUCUGCACGAUCUCUUUUAACUUAUCUAGACUGUUGCUUGCUUUUAAUCAUUUUAAUUUAAUUUAGUUACUGUACAUGAUUUGAUUAUGAUUUUUUGCAGUGUCUUCUGUGCUUUUUAAUGUUUUAUCUGCACCUCACUGCAAUGCUCUUCAUCUUUUAUAUAAAGCACUUGUCUUGGACAUGAAGGGUGGUAUAAUAAAUUUGAGCCAUUCUUUCAUUUAAAUGUCUAUAAUCAGCAUCUGAUGUCCCUCAUUUCCCAUAUUCCUGUGUUGUCUUUACUGUUUUCCCUUCCUAUUUGUCUGUUUUGCUGUAUUCAUAAAUAGAUCCUGAAUGAACACUGAGCUCAGGUAGCUUCUGACUGAGACCAGUCUGUCCAGGAUUUAGUCAUUCCUGCUCCACUGCUUUGUCCACUAAUGGCAAAGAGAUCCAAACUGCAUCAAAAGUUUAAUCAACACUGCAGGAACAGGAGGAGACUUCAGCACAAACUACACUGACACCUUCUGGACACGUUUGGUUCAUAUUCAAUACAUCUUCCAGGCAGGUGCUGAGGUGCGUGCGCGACAGAGAGCACGGGACAAAAGAAAGCGACGGACGGACACCCACUGGGCUAUACGUUUUCCACAGUAAACCCCACAGAACCAGCAGCUCUGCGUAAAGACGGCAACCAACCUGUGGCUGUGCACAUUCUACACCAGGAUUUCAAACUGCACUUAAAUAUGCGUCAUAAUAUGAUCUCUAAAACAAAGUUAGACGCAAUUUUUCUUUCAAAAAGUUCCACCAAAUGCUACUAUGUUUGUUUAGUUUUUUAACUCAAAUGGUAAAAUUCACCUAAAUAAGUGGCUGAGCGAUGUGAUAAAGUGAAGGAAAUUGUGGUGGUGUGCCUAAAAAGCUGCAGACAAGAUAACAAAAAGCCCUCAGUUUGUAACUGAUAGGCCACGGCAUGAAUAUUUAAUGUGGGAUUUGUCUGUGUAUUGUGAAAUAAUACUCUGCUUUAUCCCCCAAAAGUCCAAACAGAGCUCCUGUAAUGGCCCAGAGGACUCUACUGUACUGAAAACCAACACCUGCCUCCCGUACAGACACCUGCUCACUGGAUAAUCCGUCUAAAUGGAAGGACUACAAAAGCUCUCACCAUAGAAACCAAAUUUAAAACAUUAAAAUGAGUUAUUUAUCUUGUAUCAUUAUGCAGGUAGUAGCAGUUUGUUGGCAAAGUGAUAGAUAACAGGAAAAGUGGUCCAUUAAGUUGCUAAACAGGCACAAAUAGCCCCAUCAAGAACAUCCAUCACCUCACUCUGUCCUGAUGUGUUUUACUGCUCUGUAUUGAUGUAUAUUGAUCAGGCACAGCUUUAAAACCACCCUCUUUAUGUUGUUUAGGUCCCUGAUGUGCUGCUAAAACUCUCUGACACGUGAGACCAGUGGUGGUGUCUGGCAUCCAGACGCUGGCAGUAGAUCCAGUAGGUGCCAUAGGUUGGAUUUAGGCGCCUACUGGCACAUCUUGAGUGAGAGUAGCAGUUCCUCCUGAAGGUCAGAGAUUGCAGCAUCUGAGGGCCUCUUCAAAAGAAGACGUAGUUGAUGAAGGCGUUCUGGAGCAGGACCAGAAAGACCACGACCAAGCAGCCUUGAGAUCUUAGGCAGCGUCUCACUCUGGUCCCUCUCUAUCUCCCCACACAUCCACCAACCACUGGAACACAUCUCCAAAGUUCUGCUGGGCCAGCUCAGCUUCCCCUCAGAAGAAGUGGUGCCACCUGCCAGAUGAAGGAGCCUUUUGAGAGGCAGCUGGCAUCGUGAUUGGACUGUACUUUGGUCUGUUCCAAUCCAGCUUCAGCUCCAGAGACAGCAGGCGGGACGAGUCAACGGAGGCCGGGUGGACGAAGGCAUGCAGCUGAGUACAAUCCAGAAAACAACAGAGGAGGAGUGCAGCGGCCCAGAGCCAGAACAAACAGAGUAGCAUCAUAUGUCUUUUAGAAAACAUCAUAGUAUAGCCUUUGGUAUGAAAAAACACCAUCAUAUACAUCGUAUAUUGUACAAAUAACAAGUCAAAGGAAAGAGACAUACAUUGUAGAAUUGUAGCAAUUGUGGGCUGACUGAUUUACUGAUUAGCAGUAUUUUAUUUUUUACUGAUUUACGGUAAUAAAUAAAUUUAAAAAUGA